rnacentral:lncRNA from 1 species
AUUUAUAACCCCAAUUUAACAUUUUCAUAUUAUAAAUUUACACAUUUGAUAACAUAUUAAUCAAUCGAUACGUUUCUUUUCUUACAAACAAACAAAAAAUCUCCGGAUCUUUGUCCUGAGCCGUCCCUCAUCAAUCCCCAAAAAAAAAUCUCAUCUACGUAUGCUCAAAAACACUACUGACUUUUUUUCUUUUUUUUUUUCUCUAUGGACAUUUCGAGUUUUUACCCGGUCCUCCGUAGUAAAAAUAGUUACCCCAAACCCGGUUUACUCCUCCUCUUAUGUCGUAACAAUUCGGAUGAUCCGCAAGUACUUUAAGAUUAGAUAUCGGAAUAAGAGUGUUGUCCCAAUCUACCAUUUGAAGAUUCCUAAAGUAAGACGCUUUUCCAAAACCUUCACCGGCAAAAUGGCCACUACCCAUUUGAGUUGUAGUAUGUGAACCA